rnacentral:lncRNA from 1 species
CAAGCUCCAUAACCAUGUCGCAGGUCUUCCCAGGUGGCCGUCUAGGCAUUCCGCUGAAUGCAACCAUCGCUUCACUGAAUCGAGAGGGGAAUUGGAGAUUACCAUCGGCUAGGUCAGAAGCAAUGCUUGAACUCUAUGCCUACAUGACAACAAUUGAGCUUACCAGUCAACAAGAUUACUACGAAUGGGAGAUACAAGGAACAACAACCACAAAAUUUAGCACGGGAGCAAUCUACACUUACUUGCGAGGUACAAUUUCAGAACCAUCUUGGACUAAAGCAAUUUGGUUUCCUCGAGCUAUCCCGAGACACUCUUUCCACUUGUGGUUGGUGACUCUUGAUCGGUGUCCAACUAGAGAUAGAAUGAUCCAAUGGGGAAUUCAAG